CGGCAGUCAUCCAGUCUGAGGAAUGGGAAUAUGGCGACUGGUUGUAUUCUCUCCCGCUCGAAGAUUUUCUUAGUGACUGACAUAAAUCGUGUUGUAAGCCUGACAUGUUUGACUGCAUUGAACCUGAAUGGGGUCGUUCAUGAGUGACGUAUGGAGGGAGGACGUCUUUGGAACCCCCCGGCGCGUUAUUUAAGGGGUGAGGAAGGAGAAUAAAGGAGAUUUAUUUUAAAGGAUGAAGAAUGGAAAAUGGAAGUUGUUUUUCGAGGCGGAUAAGAAUUACGGUCACCGUACUUUGAAUGUAAUUCGGUCCUCUUUUGUAUUUAACCAAGUGCGGACUGUCUGUGCCAUAACGAUUCCAUAUUUUAUGUCUGUGACAAUUAUAAAUCCUUAAUGAUAUGUGAUAUUUUUUAAACAAAUAAAUAUAUAUUUCAUUUGCA
rnacentral:misc_RNA from 1 species